rnacentral:misc_RNA from 1 species
AAGUCGUAACAAGGUUUCCGUAGGUGAACCUGCGGAAGGAUCAUUAAAGAGUUAGGGUCCCAGUGGCCCAACCUCCAACCCUCUGUUGUUAUAACUAUCUUGUUGCUUUGGCGGGACCGUUCGGUCUCCGAGCGCGUCAACCCCCGGGUCGACGAGCGCCCGCCAGAGUCCAACCAAACUCUUGUAUUAAACCAGUCGUCUGAGUACAAAAUUUUAAUUAAAUUAAAACUUUCAACAACGGAUCUCUUGGUUCUC